UGGGGAAUUUUGCACAAUGGGGGAAACCCUGAUGCAGCGACGCCGCGUGAUUUAGAAGGCCUUCGGGUUGUAAAAAUCUUUUCUAUGGGAAGAAAAUGACAGUACCAUAGGAAUAAGGACCGGCUAAUUACGUGCCAGCAGCCGCGGUAAUACGUAAGGUCCGAGCGUUGUCCGGAAUCAUUGGGCGUAAAGGGUACGUAGGCGGGUAAGCAAGUUAGAAGUGAAAUCCUAUAGCUCAACUAUAGUAAGCUUUUAAAACUGCUCAUCUUGAGGUAUGGAAGGGAAAGUGGAAUUCCUAGUGUAGCGGUGAAAUGCUCAGAUAUUAGGAGGAAUACCGGUGGCGAAGGCGACUUUCUGGCCAUAACCUGACGCUGAGGUACGAAAGCGUGGGUAGCAAACAGG
rnacentral:rRNA from 1 species